GUUCUUUCAGCAGUAUAUGCAUUAAAAUUUGGAAUACUAGAGAGAAGCUGAGCGUGGCCCCUAGGCGAGGAUGGCACACAGAUUUGUGGAGCAUUUCGUAUUUUC